rnacentral:rRNA from 1 species
CCUACGGGUGGCAGCAGUAGGGAAUAUUGCUCAAUGGGGGAAACCCUGAAGCAGCAACGCCGCGUGGAGGAUGAAGGUUUUAGGAUUGUAAACCCCCUUUGUGAGAGAAGAUACUGACGGUAUCUCACGAAUAAGCACCGGCUAACUGCGUGCCAGCAGCCGCGGUAAUACGGCGGGUGCAAGCGUUACUCGGAAUCAAUGGGCGUAAAGCGGGCGUAGGUGGGUUUGUAAGUUAGAUGUGAAAACCUGUAGCUUAACUACAGAACUGCAUUUGAAACUAGGGGUCUAGAGUGUGAGAGAGGUAGGUGGAAUGCUUGGUGUAGGGGUAAAAUGCAUAGAUAUCAAGAAGAAUACUCAUUGCGAAGGCAGCCUACUGUAACAUUACUGACGCUCAUGCACGAAAGCGUGGGGAGCAAACAGGAUUAGAUACCCUAGUAGUC